AACUGAAACAUCUAAGUACCCGGAGGAGAAGAAAACAAAAGUGAUUCCGCUAGUAGCGGCGAGCGAACGCGGAUUAGCCCAAACCACAGUUGUUACGGCAAUUGUGGGGUUGUAGGACCACGACAUUUGAUGCUAAACGAACUAGAAUCUACUGGAAAGUAGGACCAUAGAGGGUGAUAGUCCCGUAUAGGUAAGUUGAGUUAUUGAUAGUGGUAUCCUGAGUAGUGCGGGGCACGUGAAACCCUGCAUGAAUUUGCCGGGACCAUCCGGUAAGGCUAAAUACUCCUGAGAGACCGAUAGUGAACCAGUACCGUGAGGGAAAGGUGAAAAGAACCCUGAAUAAGGGAGUGAAAUAGAUCCUGAAACCAUACGCUUACAAGCGGUCGGAGCAGACUUGAUCUGUGACGGCGUGCCUUUUGCAUAAUGAGCCUACGAGUUACCGUUGCUAGCAAGGUUAAUCGAUUCAGUCGAGGAUCCGUAGCGAAAGCGAGUCUGAAUAGGGCGUAUAGUUAGUAGUGGUAGACGCGAAACCGUGUGAUCUACCCAUGAGCAGGUUGAAGCUUUGUUAAUCCAAAGUGGAGGACCGAACCCGUUGACGUUGAAAAGUCUUGGGAUGACUUGUGGGUAGGGGUGAAAGGCCAAUCAAACUCGGAAAUAGCUCGUACUCCCCGAAAUGCAUUUAGGUGCAGCGUAUUAAUAGUUUUAUAGAGGUAGAGCUACUGAUUGGAUGCGGGG
rnacentral:rRNA from 1 species